UACGUAGGGUGCGAGCGUUGCCCGGAUUUAUUGGGCGUAAAGGGCGCGUAGGUGGUUCUGUGUGCUCCGCGUGAAAUCGCCCGGCUCAACCGGGCGGGGUCGCGGAUGACUACAGGACUGGAGCCUGGGAGGGGGAAGCGGAAUUCCCGGUGUAGUGGUGGAAUGCGUAGAUAUCGGGAGGAACAUCAGUUGCGAAGGCGGCUCUCUGGACCAGCACUGACACUGAGGCACGAAAGCGUGGGGAGCAAACAGG
rnacentral:rRNA from 1 species